CGUAGGUGAACCUGCGGAAGGAUCAUUAAUGAAUUACAAGUCGGUCAUCUGUGCUGGCGGAGACGCAUGUGCACGUUGAUCGCAAAUCCUCACACCUGUGCACCUUUGACUCUGAGUAUUCGCUUGUCGGCUUGUCUGGCUUGCAGUUGGUCAACUUUGGUUGGCCUGGAUCUUGGAGUAUUUUUAUACGCUCUGAAUGUAAUGGAAUGUCUAUGUGCAUAAUGCGCAAAAAUACAACUUUCAACAACGGAUCUCUUGGCUCUCGCACCGAUGAAGAACGCAGCGAAAUGCGAUAAGUAAUGUGAAUUGCAGAAUUCAGUGAAUCAUCGAAUCUUUGAACGCACCUUGCACUCUUUGGUAUUCCGAAGAGUACACCCGUUUGAGUGUCAUUGUAAUCUCACCUCUACACCUUUAUUGUUGUGGAAAGUGGACUUGGGCAUUGUUGUGUACCAACAACUGGCCUGAAAUGGAUGAGUGUACCCUGCUGCUGCAGCGUCUUCAGUGUGAUAAGCAUCUUCACUGAUAAAAGUUCCUUUGGGACACGAUUGCAAAGUGGGCUCUGUGCUUCCAACCGUCUGUCAACAGACAAUACUUGACAAUUUGGCCUCAAAUCGGGUGGGACUACCCGCUGAACUUAAGCAUAUCAAUAAGCGGAGGAAAAGAAACUAACAAGGAUUCCCCUAGUAACGGCGAGUGAAGAGGGAAAAGCUCAAAUUUUGAAUCUGUCGUCUUUGGCGAUCGAGUUGUAAUCUAGAGAAGUGUUUUCUGCCUUGGACCACACAUAAAUUCCCUGGAAUGGGGUGUCAAAGAGGGUGAGAAUCCCGUUUGUGGUGUGGACUCCCUUGGCUCUGUGAUACACUCUCAACGAGUCGAGUUGUUUGGGAAUGCAGCUCAAAAUGGGUGGUAAAUUCCAUCUAAAGCUAAAUACUGGCGAGAGACCGAUAGCGAACAAGUACCGUGAGGGAAAGAUGAAAAGCACUUUGGAAAGAGAGUGAAACAGUACGUGAAAUUGUUGAAAGGGAAGCGUUUGAAGUCAGUCACGUCGUCUGGGACUCAGCCUUGCUUCUGCUUGGUGUACUUCCCAGUCAACGAGUCAGCAUCAGUUUCGACCGUGGGAGAAAGACUUGGGGAAUGUGGCUCCUCGGAGUGUUAUAGCCUCUUGUUGUAUGUCUCGGUUGGGACUGAGGAUCGCAGCGCGCCUUACGGCCGGGGUUCGCGCCCUCGGUACGCGCUUAGGAUGUUGGCAUAAUGGCUUUAAGCGACCCGUCUUGAAACACGGACCAAGGGCGAAUUCUGC
rnacentral:rRNA from 1 species